UACGUAGGGUGCGAGCGUUACUCGGAAUUACUGGGCGUAAAGCGUGCGCAGGCGGUUUUGUAAGCCAGAUGUGAAAUCCCCGGGCUUAACCUGGGAAUGGCAUUUGGGACUGCAAGGCUCGAGUGCGGCAGAGGAGACUGGAAUUCCUGGUGUAGCAGUGAAAUGCGUAGAUAUCAGGAGGAACACCGAUGGCGAAGGCAGGUCUCUGGGCCACUACUGACGCUGAGAAGCGAAAGCAUGGGGAGCGAACAGG
rnacentral:rRNA from 1 species